GAUGAACGCUGGCGGCGUGCUUAACACAUGCAAGUCGAACGAGAAGUGAAGACGGAAACCUUCGGGCGGAAGGCUUUAUUUCGAGUGGCGGACGGGUGAGUAACGCGUGGGUAACCUGCCUCAUACAGGGGGAUAACAGUUGGAAACGACUGUUAAUACCGCAUAAGACCACAGCACCGCAUGGUGCGGGGGUAAAAACUCCGGUGGUAUGAGAUGGACCCGCGUUCGAUUAGCCAGUUGGCGGGGUAACGGCCCACCAAAGCGACGAUCGAUAGCCGAUCUGAGAGGAUGACCGGCCACAUUGGGACUGAGACACGGCCCAAACUCCUACGGGAGGCAGCAGUGGGGAAUAUCGCACAAUGGGGGAAACCCUGAUGCAGCGACGCCGCGUGAGUGAAGAAGUAUUUCGGUAUGUAAAGCUCUAUCAGCAGGGAAGAAAAUGACGGUACCUGAGUAAGAAGCCCCGGCUAACUACGUG
rnacentral:rRNA from 1 species